UGCUGCGGCGGCGGUUUGAUGACGUGUUUCCGCUUCGGUCACGGCGCGGUUUGAAGCGGGGGAGCGGCGCGAGACACUCGGGCGUGAGAUGACGUCAGUGGGCCGAGCUGCUGCUGCUGAUGAUGCUCCUCUUCAUCAGUCGUGUGUUCCCGCUCUGACGCGCUCCUGGCCGUCGUCUCCUCUCUCAGCGCUGUCCUCGUCUCGUCAGGUCACCGCGCGCCUCUACAGCUCCUUACAGCACAGCCGAGAGCAGGAGGUCAAAGGUCACGCGGCCAGAGUGGAAGGAAGCACAUAGAGGAAAUGGAGAAUGUAAGGACACACUUACAGUCCAUACUGAGGAACACACCGACGUCAGCGGACCGACACGAUUUUCUGGCCCCUGCAUCACAGCACUUCCUGGAUGAUUCACACGAGAGCGACGCCACGUCACACCUGCUCAG